GCAAAAACUAAAUACAAAAAAAAUGCAUUCAUUUGGGUACAGAGCCAACGCUGUGUUAACUUUCGCCGUCACCAUUGUCGCCUUAAUGUGCGCCAUCGCUUCUCUUUCUGACAACCUUAACAGUCCUUCUCUGACUGCUGAAAUCCAGCCUUGUAGGUAUUGAAUAUUAAUUGUUUUCAGAAGUAGACACACGGAAACGAUGAGGGGCUCAGUGUAAGCACAGCAGUAUUUGAUGGAGUGAAGCAUCUGAUUGCAUUUGGUGGCUACAACGGGAAAUAUAAUAAUGAGGAUACUCAUCUUCUACUGACUGGGGGACUGGAGAAAAUUUUUCGUAUUCUUGAUUUAAAUCAUCCAGAUGCACCCCCAAGAGAAGUGGAUAGAUCUCCUGGUUCAGUCAGAACUAUUGCAUGGCUCCAUAGUGAUCGAAUAAUGUUAAGCUCUUGCUCUGGCAUGGGCGGUGUCAGUGGUUUUACAGGUUAUGGGAUGUUGGAAGUGGUAAGAUAGUCCAAACACUCGAGCCCAAGUCAUCUGUGACCAGUGCUGAAGUGAGUCAAGAUGGUCGUUAUAUCACAACUGCUGAUGGGUCAAUGGUUAAGUUCUGGGAUGCAAACCAGUAAGUUUUAUGCCUUGGCCAAAUCUGAAUCUUGAACUCUAAUGAAAUGGGAACUAUCUUUCUGAACAAGAUGUUACAGUUGAUAUUGAGACAAUCAAAGAAGAGAAAAGAGUUUCGGAAUUGUCUCUAGCAGAAGCCAGAGAAAAUUUCUAGGCUCAGAGAAAAGGUCGAUGAAGUUAACAGUACUCAUGGUGAAUUGUCCAAGGAACUCCAAUCUGUCCAAGGUCAACUGGUAACUGAGAGAUCAAGAAUCUUCAAAUUGGAGCCAAAGUGGAAUGAUGCACUUCUUGAGAUGUUUAGAAUCAAUUACAUCGGUACUUCUCCAUACAUCACCUGUUUGCCUUCGCUCUAUCAUCAUCAAGUCAGCCCAAUGGACAAGUUCUUGAUAUUGUCUUUAGAUGGACUCUAUCAAUACUUCACCUACGAAGAAGCUGUAUCCGAAGUUGUGUUAUUCAUUGCUGCAUUUCCCAAAGGAGAUCCUGCACAACAUCUCAUAAAGCUGUUAUUGACUUCCAUGAGUUGCUUGAUAUCCCACAAGUAAGAAUGGUCUCAUUCUGAAUGACCAAUAUCUGAUAUUUUGGCAGAAAGAUGUGGUUUGUUCUGAACCAUGAAAAGGUUAGAAAUGUCUUGAUGACACAAAAUAGUUAGACCAAGGUGCUAGAAAUGAUUAUAGUAGCAAUUUUUGCUAUGGUGGUUUUGGCUUCUUAUUAUGUUGCUGGUUACUGUGAAGUUUUAUAACAUGCAUCUGCAGCAAGUUUAUGUAACACUUACACCAAAACCUUCUCUGGGGUUGAUGGAGCUGGAAAGCGAUUAGCAAAUGGAGUGAGUCUUGAUAUGUGUUCCAUUUAUUUGUAUAUGACCUGCAUCUUUAUAGGGAAUUACAUGUGUAUCAAAAUUGAUGAUCUUUCUUCCUUAAUUAUCUGGGAACAGGUCAAACACCAUCACAGUCAGCAGAUUUAGACUUUUUAAUCUGUUUACUGUGUGAAAUUGAUAGAUUUUAUGUGGAUGGUAGUUAAAGAUGAUGCCAGUCAAUUUUGAAAUGACAAUGUGAUCAUUUAAUGAUUACUUUUUGUUUUAAUCGUUGAAGUAUGAUGAAUGCAAGCUGAACGUUGUCUUUGGUUUCAGGGUAAGCAUCUGAGAACAAACAGUUGUGGCAGCCUGAGAGUUGGCUAUAAAUGAAUUGAGCUGAUGGAGUCUAUGCUUCCUUCUUUCACUUAUAUAUAUAUAAUUUCUUGAUGGGUAGUCGGUAGGUUAGAUUUAUACAAGUUAUUGAAAUUCUGAUCUCUUGUUGAUGCUCACUUAGUUUGUUAAAUAUACAGUAACAACAACAUUUAUUCAAGUCUGUCGUAAUAAAUUUUGUAACCCAUUGGUUUAUAUGUAAUUUGUUUUCUCUGAUCAAUGAUAUUGCGCUAGAAUGGAAGCUGGAGCUGUUGUUUCUGACUCAAAUCCACUAAAAUGAAAUUCUAUUAUUCCUACUGUAUGGAUGGAAGGAUUUGAUUUUGCUUUUAUGUAAGGAUAACA